rnacentral:rRNA from 1 species
GACAGAGGGGGCAAGCGUUGCUCGGAAUCACUGGGCGUAAAGGGCGCGUAGGCGGGAUGGCAAGUCAGUCGUGAAAUCUCUCGGCUCAACCGAGAAACGUCGGCUGAUACUGCCGUUCUUGAGGGAUGCAGAGGAGACUGGAAUUCCCGGUGUAGCGGUGAAAUGUGUAGAGAUCGGGAGGAACACCGGUGGCGAAGGCGGGUCUCUGGGCAACUCCUGACGCUGAGGCGCGAAAGCGUGGGGAGCAAACGGG